AGUGGCCUAUGAUGUAAAAGUUGCCUACAUUGUCAGAUUGUUUUAUCUAUGACUGAGAAAUUAUCUGUCUGAGGCCUUU
rfam:Citrus sinensis cultivar Ridge Pineapple sweet orange scaffold00008_contig_156, whole genome shotgun sequence.